UACAGAGGAUGCAAGCGUUAUCCGGAAUGAUCGGGCGUAAAGCGUCUGUAGGUGGCUUUUUAAGUCCGCCGUCAAAUCCCAGGGCUCAACUCUGGACAGGCGGUGGAAACUACCAAGCUGGAGUACGGUAGGGGCAGAGGGAAUUUCCGGUGGAGCGGUGAAAUGCGUAGAGAUCGGAAGGAACGCCUGUGGCGAAAGCGAGCCCCUGGACGUCUGCUGACGCUGAGGCGCGAAAGCUAGGGGAGCGAACGGG
rnacentral:rRNA from 1 species